rnacentral:rRNA from 1 species
CACGUAGGCGGGCUUGUAAGUAGGGGGUGAAAUCCCAGGGCUCAACCCUGGAAUUGCCUUCUAGACUGCGAGUCUGGAGGUCAGGAGAGGCGAGUGGAAUACCGAGUGUAGAGGUGAAAUUCGUAGAUAUUCGGUGGAACACCAGUGGCGAAGGCGACUCGCUGGACUGAUACUGACGCUGAGGUGCGAAAGCGUGGGGAGCAAACA